UCAAGUGAAUAAGUGCAUCAGGCGGAUGCCUUGGCGAUGAUAGGCGACGAAGGACGUGUAAGCCUGCGAAAAGCGCGGGGGAGCUGGCAAUAAAGCUAUGAUUCCGCGAUGUCCGAAUGGGGAAACCCACUGCAUUCUGUGCAGUAUCCUAAGUUGAAUACAUAGGCUUAGAGAAGCGAACCCGGAGAACUGAACCAUCUAAGUACCCGGAGGAAAAGAAAUCAACCGAGAUUCCGCAAGUAGUGGCGAGCGAACGCGGAGGAGCCUGUACGUAAUAACUGUCGAGAUAGAAGAACAAGCUGGGAAGCUUGACCAUAGCGGGUGACAGUCCCGUAUUCGAAAUCUCAACAGCGGUACUAAGCGUACGAAAAGUAGGGCGGGACACGUGAAAUCCUGUCUGAAUAUGGGGGGACCAUCCUCCAAGGCUAAAUACUCAUCAUCGACCGAUAGUGAACCAGUACCGUGAGGGAAAGGCGAAAAGAACCCCGGGAGGGGAGUGAAACAGAACCUGAAACCUGAUGCAUACAAACAGUGGGAGCGCCCUAGUGGUGUGACUGCGUACCUUUUGUAUAAUGGGUCAACGACUUACAUUCAGUAGCGAGCUUAACCGGAUAGGGGAGGCGUAGGGAAACCGAGUCUUAAUAGGGCGAUGAGUUGCUGGGUGUAGACCCGAAACCGAGUGAUCUAUCCAUGGUCAGGUUGAAGGUGCCGUAACAGGUACUGGAGGACCGAACCCACGCAUGUUGCAAAAUGCGGGGAUGAGCUGUGGGUAGGGGUGAAAGGCUAAACAAACUCGGAGAUAGCUGGUUCUCCCCGAAAACUAUUUAGGUAGUGCCUCGAGCAAGACACUGAUGGGGGUAAAGCACUGUUAUGGCUAGGGGGUUAUUGCAACUUACCAACCCAUGGCAAACUCAGAAUACCAUCAAGUGGUUCCUCGGGAGACAGACAGCGGGUGCUAACGUCCGUUGUCAAGAGGGAAACAACCCAGACCGCCGGCUAAGGUCCCAAAUGAUAGAUUAAGUGGUAAACGAAGUGGGAAGGCACAGACAGCCAGGAUGUUGGCUUAGAAGCAGCCAUCAUUUAAAGAAAGCGUAAUAGCUCACUGGUCGAGUCGUCCUGCGCGGAAGAUGUAACGGGGCUCAAAUCUAUAACCGAAGCUGCGGAUGCCGGUUUACCGGCAUGGUAGGGGAGCGUUCUGUAGGCUGAUGAAGGUGCAUUGUAAAGUGUGCUGGAGGUAUCAGAAGUGCGAAUGUUGACAUGAGUAGCGAUAAAGCGGGUGAAAAGCCCGCUCGCCGAAAGCCCAAGGUUUCCUACGCAACGUUCAUCGGCGUAGGGUAAGUCGGCCCCUAAGGCGAGGCAGAAAUGCGUAGUCGAUGGGAAACAGGUUAAUAUUCCUGUACUUGAUUCAAAUGCGAUGUGGGGACGGAGAAGGUUAGGUUGGCAAGCUGUUGGAAUAGCUUGUUUAAGCCGGUAGGUGGAAGACUUAGGCAAAUCCGGGUUUUCUUAACACCGAGAAGUGAUGACGAGUGUCUACGGACACGAAGCAACCGAUACCACGCUUCCAGGAAAAGCCACUAAGCUUCAGUUUGAAUCGAACCGUACCGCAAACCGACACAGGUGGGUAGGAUGAGAAUUCUAAGGCGCUUGAGAGAACUCGGGAGAAGGAACUCGGCAAAUUGAUACCGUAACUUCGGGAGAAGGUAUGCCCUCUAAGGUUAAGGACUUGCUCCGUAAGCCCCGGAGGGUCGCAGAGAAUAGGUGGCUGCGACUGUUUAUUAAAAACACAGCACUCUGCCAACACGAAAGUGGACGUAUAGGGUGUGACGCCUGCCCGGUGCCGGAAGGUUAAUUGAAGAUGUGCAAGCAUCGGAUCGAAGCCCCGGUAAACGGCGGCCGUAACUAUAACGGUCCUAAGGUAGCGAAAUUCCUUGUCGGGUAAGUUCCGACCCGCACGAAUGGCGUAACGAUGGCCACACUGUCUCCUCCCGAGACUCAGCGAAGUUGAAGUGGUUGUGAAGAUGCAAUCUACCCGCUGCUAGACGGAAAGACCCCGUGAACCUUUACUGUAGCUUUGCAUUGGACUUUGAAGUCACUUGUGUAGGAUAGGUGGGAGGCUUGGAAGCAGAGACGCCAGUCUCUGUGGAGUCGUCCUUGAAAUACCACCCUGGUGUCUUUGAGGUUCUAACCCAGACCCGUCAUCCGGGUCGGGGACCGUGCAUGGUAGGCAGUUUGACUGGGGCGGUCUCCUCCCAAAGCGUAACGGAGGAGUUCGAAGGUUACCUAGGUCCGGUCGGAAAUCGGACUGAUAGUGCAAUGGCAAAAGGUAGCUUAACUGCGAGACCGACAAGUCGGGCAGGUGCGAAAGCAGGACAUAGUGAUCCGGUGGUUCUGUAUGGAAGGGCCAUCGCUCAACGGAUAAAAGGUACUCCGGGGAUAACAGGCUGAUUCCGCCCAAGAGUUCAUAUCGACGGCGGAGUUUGGCACCUCGAUGUCGGCUCAUCACAUCCUGGGGCUGUAGUCGGUCCCAAGGGUAUGGCUGUUCGCCAUUUAAAGUGGUACGUGAGCUGGGUUUAAAACGUCGUGAGACAGUUUGGUCCCUAUCUGCAGUGGGCGUUGGAAGUUUGACGGGGGCUGCUCCUAGUACGAGAGGACCGGAGUGGACGAACCUCUGGUGUACCGGUUGUAACGCCAGUUGCAUAGCCGGGUAGCUAAGUUCGGAAGAGAUAAGCGCUGAAAGCAUCUAAGCGCGAAACUCGCCUGAAGAUGAGACUUCCCUUGCGGUUUAACCGCACUAAAGGGUCGUUCGAGACCAGGACGUUGAUAGGUGGGGUGUGGAAGCGCGGUAACGCGUGAAGCUAACCCAUACUAAUUGCCCGUGAGGCUUGACUCU
rnacentral:rRNA from 1 species